GUGGGGAAUAUUGCGCAAUGGGGGAAACCCUGACGCAGCAACGCCGCGUGAGUGAAGAAGGCCUUAGGGUUGUAAAGCUCUGUCAUAUGGGAAGAUAAUGACGGUACCAUAAGAGGAAGCCACGGCUAACUACGUGCCAGCAGCCGCGGUAAUACGUAGGUGGCGAGCGUUGUCCGGAUUUACUGGGCGUAAAGGAUGCGUAGGCGGAUAUUUAAGUGGGAUGUGAAAUCCCCGAGCUUAACUCGGGGGCUGCAUUCCAAACUGGAUAUCUAGAGUGUCGGAGGGGAAAGUGGAAUUCCUAGUGUAGCGGUGAAAUGCGUAGAGAUUAGGAAGAACACCAGUGGCGAAGGCGACUUUCUGGACGAUAACUGACGCUGAGGCAUGAAAGCGUGGGGAGCAAACAGGAUUAGAAACCCCAGUAGUCC
rnacentral:rRNA from 1 species